AAUGAGAACAACUCUGGGACGUACUACUGUGCUGUGGUGACCAGCAAUGAGAUUGUCUUUAGCGCUGGAGCAACAUUAGAUUUCAACAGGUCUGAUGAUCGCACUACGUUCAGUCUGGAAGUGGCUUUUGGUGUGUCUGUGAUUUGGAUCGUUGCUCAAGCUGUUCUAAUCUGUAAGAGGACUCAGUGCAAACACUGCAGGGGCCUACAGGAGAAGCCAGCUAGUCAGGGCCACUACACUUCCUCUAGACUGAGGCUGAAGCGAGGACAGUCUGAUGUGAACUCUAAAGUGCAAUACUCCACAUUUACUGAUCAUCAAACUCAUUAGCUUUUAUC